GGACAUUGCUAAAACUAAACCCAUUGAAUUUUUUCUGUAAAUUUAGUUACUUUUUGAAGAAUUUUCCAAGAUACAGAAUGAGGAGGGACAACACAUGGAUCUCUACAUCCCAAAGAAGUGAUAUGCCAUUUCUGCUACUACUGAUAGGUUGAUCACUUCAAAGGAUCUUGAUUCUUUUCAGAUCAAUGUCGAUGAGUCUGUUCGCUACACUUGUCAGUUUUCCAGUUUUGGUCUCUGUGGUUUUGUCAGUUUUCCACUUUUGCCCUCUACUGAUGGAUUGUUCUUAUUCAGUUCAUGCCACUUUUUCACUGCAGAAUAAGAUCAAGAGGCGGCAUGUAAAAACGCACAAGAAAGAAGUGCGGCGAAGAGAGGUUUGGUCUCUAGCGAAUUUACUUGGACUUUUAUUUAUUUUUUUUUUUAAAAUUGAUUAUUCGUCUACAUUGUACUGAAAUUGUAAUUUAAGUUUGAUUCAUUGGAAUGUUUAUGUCCUGAUUUAGUUUGGAACCACGAAUCUAAAUGCAUAUACAGGAAUAGACUCUUAUUCUUCUUUUAUCUCUUCCCAUGAACAAUUAAUAUAUCAAUAUUGCAUCAAAGCAACUUUUAUUUGUUCUUAUCUUUUGAGGAAUGAGCAUGCCUAUCGGACAUGUGGAAGAAUGUUGGCAUUCAGCCGAAUUUUACAACAAGAUUUAAGGGAUUAUAUGAAAGCUCACUACCCUUAGGGCCCUUAUGGAGUACAACAGGAUCAAUCAUUUCAACUUCUUCUUCGUUUUGCCCAAAACAAGGCCAACGAAUGGCUGUUGUUUUCAGGAAAUUAGUUCAAAACCUGUUACCUAUGGGUUAAGAGGUAGCAUAAGAGGUGGUCGUGAAUUUUUCUCACAAGGGUAAAGGGGUGUUGGAUCGAUCGGAAAACAAAGAGGUUGUGGAGUUAUAUACACAUUAUUGAAUCAUUGGUUUUAUUUGCUCACCCAUGAACUGCUAAGGGACUAUAGUUUUUUAUGUUUUUCAUCACUAUUUGUGUAUGCUAUAUCUUUGAUAUAGUAUGGUACGUUUUGAAUUUCGUUUCCGGUUUCUUUUGAAAAGAAAUUGAGUUAUCGUUUAUGAAAUAAUUUUGGU